rnacentral:rRNA from 1 species
GACGAACGCUGGCGGCGUGCUUAACACAUGCAAGUCGAACGGAAAGGCCCUGCUUUUGUGGGGUGCUCGAGUGGCGAACGGGUGAGUAACACGUGAGUAACCUGCCCUUGACUUUGGGAUAACUUCAGGAAACUGGGGCUAAUACCGGAUAGGAGCUCCUGCUGCAUGGUGGGGGUUGGAAAGUUUCGGCGGUUGGGGCUGGACUCGCGGCUUAUCAGCUUGUUGGUGGGGUAGUGGCUUACCAAGGCUUUGACGGGUAGCCGGCCUGAGAGGGUGACCGGCCACCUUGGGACUGAGAUACGGCCCAGACUCCUACGGGAGGCAGCAGUGGGGAAUAUUGCACAAUGGGAGGAAGCCUGAUGCAGCAACGCCGCGUGCGGGAUGACGGCUUUCGGGUUGUAAACCGCUUUAGCCUGUGACGAAGCGUGAGUGACGGUAAUGGGUAAAGAAGCACCGGCUAACUACGUG